rnacentral:rRNA from 1 species
AACGAACGCUGGCGGCAUGCCUAACACAUGCAAGUCGAACGAGACCUUCUGGUCUAGUGGCGCACGGGUGCGUAACGCGUGGGAACCUGCCCUUAGGUUCGGAAUAACUCCCCGACAGGGGUGCUAAUACCGGAUAAUGUCUUCGGACCAAAGAUUUAUCGCCUUUGGAUGUGCCCGCGUUGGAUUAGCUAGUUGGUAGGGUAAAAGCCUACCAAGGCGACGAUCCAUAGCUGGUCUGAGAGGAUGAUCAGCCACACUGGGACUGAGACACGGCCCAGACUCCUACGGGAGGCAGCAGUGGGGAAUAUUGGACAAUGGGCGAAAGCCUGAUCCAGCAAUGCCGCGUGAGUGAUGAAGGCCUUAGGGUUGUAAAGCUCUUUUACCCGGGAUGAUAAUGACAGUACCGGGAGAAUAAGCUCCGGCUAACUCCGUG